GUGAUUGUUUUCAGUUAUUUCACAUUAUUGGCAAAGAAAAGAAAAUAUUAAUUGCAGUUAAUGUAAAAUAACUGAACCUACACAUAGGACCCUUGGAAAAAUGCUCAUUUUAGAAGAACAUUUCAAACAGCACUUAGAGGCUUUUGCAUCUGAACACAGGAUAUAUUUAAGAUGAAAUACAGAAUUGGUAUCAAUUAAACACAAUUGCAGGUAAUAUUAUUAAAUCAUAUAGACCAAAAUUCACAAUAUAAUAUGAAAUUGAAUGCAAAUACAGACAAUGUUUUUUAUUUUAUUUUAUUUUAUUUUUUACUUUAAAUUCCAGAGUUCGAUUAUGACUUUUUUUCAUCCAUACAUUUUGCCAUCCAUUUUUGUUCUUUAAUCUCCCGCUUCAGGGUUGGCACUAUUUCAAGAUUUUCAAUGAACCAGACAUCCAAGACACCAAACCCUGCUGAUUCAUUGUCCAUUUGCACCAGUGUAGACCAAAGAGAACAAAGACGGUCAAGAGCUCCUAGUUCCUCUCCUUCAAGCAAUGCUGUGCACAACCAUCGCAUAGCCAAAGAAAGGGUUUUUGAAACCUGACAUUUCCUCAGAGUCCCCUGCUGACUUAAUCAUGGCAAAUAUUGCAUGUCAUUUGUUUGCCACGCAUGGACCUGGCUGAUGGUAGUAGUAGUAAUUCACCACCGCUGUGCGCCGGUUCCUGGAGUGCACUCCAGUGAUGGUGUCGUGCACGUCAGCACAUAGACAUGACAACCAGGAUCAUCACCAAACUGAGGCUAAGCUUGGAAUGGAGUACUGGCUUACUAGCUCGCUGUACACUUGAUGUAUCAAGUAAAAGAAAAAAAAAAAAUUUUGAAUUAGUAUGUAUAAUGUAACUAAAUGUUUCAAACAUUGUUGAUCUCAUUAUUAUAAUUA
rnacentral:lncRNA from 1 species